rnacentral:rRNA from 1 species
AUACCUGCGCCCCGAGUGGCGGGCACUAUUAUUUGGUCUAAAGCGGCCGUAGCCGGGCGGGUAAGCCCCCGGUUAAAUCCAGCCGCUCAACGGCUGGACUGCCGGGGGGUACUGCCCGCCUUGGGACCGGGAGAGGCGGGGGGUACUACCGGGGUAGGGGUGAAAUCCUUUAAUCCCGGUGGGACCGCCAGUGGCGAAGGCGCCCCGCCAGAACGGGUCCGACGGUGAGGGCCGAAGGCCAGGGGAGCGAACCGGAGUAGAAACCCUUGUAGUCC